AUUGAACGCUGGCGGCAUGCCUUACACAUGCAAGUCGAACGGCAGCACGGGAGUAAUCCUGGUGGCGAGUGGCGAACGGGUGAGUAACAUAUCGGAACGUGCCCAGUCGUGGGGGAUAACGCAGCGAAAGCUGUGCUAAUACCGCAUACGAUCUACGGAUGAAAGCGGGGGAUCGCAAGACCUCGCGCGAUUGGAGCGGCCGAUAUCAGAUUAGCUAGUUGGUGGGGUAAAGGCCCACCAAGGCGACGAUCUGUAGCUGGUCUGAGAGGACGACCAGCCACACUGGAACUGAGACACGGUCCAGACUCCUACGGGAGGCAGCAGUGGGGAAUUUUGGACAAUGGGCGCAAGCCUGAUCCAGCAAUGCCGCGUGCAGGAUGAAGGCCUUCGGGUUGUAAACUGCUUUUGUACGGAACGAAACGGCUCCUUCUAAUACAAGGGGCUAAUGACGGUACCGUAAGAAUAAGCACCGGCUAACUACGUGCCAGCCGCCGCCGUAACAC
rnacentral:rRNA from 1 species